GACGGAAGGUGCAAGCGUUGCUCGGAAUCACUGGGCGUAAAGGGUGCGUAGGCGGAUAUGUAAGUCCGUGGUGAAAUCUCUGGGCUUAACCCGGAAACUGCCAUGGAUACUAUGUGUCUUGAAUGUUGUUGAGGUGAGCGGAAUAUGUCAUGUAGCGGUGAAAUGCUUAGAUAUGACAUAGAACACCAAUUGCGAAGGCAGCUCACUAAGCAAAUAUUGACGCUGAGGCACGAAAGCGUGGGGAUCAAACAGG
rnacentral:rRNA from 1 species